ACGCUCGACACCUACGGAGGCAGCAGUCGGGAAUAUUGCGCAAUGGAGGAAACUCUGACGCAGUGACGCCGCGUAUAGGAAGAAGGUUUUCGGAUUGUAAACUAUUGUCGUUAGGGAAGAAAAAAGACAGUACCUAAGGAGGAAGCUCCGGCUAACUACGUGCCAGUAGCCGCCGGUAAGUACUGAGCGGGCGUGGCGAAGGC
rnacentral:rRNA from 1 species